CUGCUGCCUCCCGUAGGAGUUUGGGCCGUGUCUCAGUCCCAAUGUGGCCGUCCACCCUCUCAGGCCGGCUACUGAUCGUCGCCUUGGUGGGCCGUUACCCCGCCAACAAGCUAAUCAGACGCGGGUCCAUCUUACACCACCGGAGUUUUUCACACAAAUCCAUGCGGCUUCGUGCGCUUAUGCGGUAUUAGCACCUAUUUCUAAGUGUUAUCCCCAGUGUAAGGCAGGUUACCACGCGUUACUCACCCGUCCGCCACUAAGUA
rnacentral:rRNA from 1 species